AUCACAACCAUCCAUCUCCCCUGCAUUCUUGAUUUCAUCUGCCUGCACCAUCUCCCCGGCCCACUCUGCUUUCUAAGAAGGCUCAGAGACCGUCCGUAUUUAAGAAGUCUGAACAUUUGUGCUCCCCCCACCCCCACAAUUACCGGGAUACUUGCAAUCUGCCGGUGCCUCCCCGGGAGGGAAAGCCCGUGGCCCACACGGAAAGACCGGAAUCGCAAGCGAGAGAACUUUUCCCUCUCCCUCCCCCUGUUGCUACCAAAAUUUCAACUGUGCCACAACUAUGCCUAGAGACAGCGUGCCGCGCGAAUUGCCUGACUGUACUUGAAAGCGGCAGUACCCUGGGCGCGCCGACCAUGGAAGCCGCGCUCGGCGGGGGCUUCGCAGCCUACUCUCGACGCCCGGGCAGCCGCCCUCGCGGCAGUGUCAGUCCCUGAACUUGGCCGCCAAGAUCCUGGGCUGCAGCCGCAGCUCCGCCCGGGAGCCAGAUGCUGCUGGGCCUGCGGGGCCCGCGGCACCGACUUGCUGAUUGCACCCCGUGCAAAGGGAGGCGCCCGACGCUUUCCCCGGCCGGGGUUCGAGCCCGGGAGCCUAACCCUGAGCAGCUGCGGAAAACAGUAAAUCUUCCAGCGUGCUAAGAAGCUAUUUCCAAGAAGCUCUUCCCGCGCUCUGCGCUCCGCCAGGCCUGAGUCCCUGGAGAACCACUUUCCUUACGCAUUCCCAAGGACCCAGGACCCUGCGAGCGUGCUCUCCGCGGUCCCUUGGAAGCAAGGGACGUAUUUCCAUCUUAUUCUUUGCUUCCCACCUCGACCCCGCUUCCUAGCUGCUUCCUUGGGGAGGCGCUCCCUCCCGCACGCGUCGCGGCCGAUCGGCUCCCUACCUGUCUGACCGAGCUCCCGCAGGGCCUUCGCCAGACGCGCCGCCUGCGGGGAUGGCUCCUCCGCCGACCCCGCGGUCCCCCACUGGCUCCGCGUCCCUUCCCCGCCAUUCCCGGAGGGCUCAAGGCACCGCAGGGUCAUGAGAGAAGGGUCACCGCGGCAAAGACAGGUGGCCGCCCGAGCUGGGGUCAGAGAAGGGUUCGCGUCCUUCCUUGAAGUCAGUGCGAAUCCCAAAACGAGUCCCUGCGGGGUGUCCGAAAUGGUGGCAGAGAGAGAAGGGAUGGGGCUCUUUCUCCCCAGAUCCUGGAGGACGGAUGACAAAGUCCCUCGCAGCCGCGGUCACCCACUGAUCGCCUACAAAGAGAAAGCGGGAGGUUGGGUCAGUCCAAACUGGACCCCUGCGGCUGGGGUGGGGGUGGGGAAAUAGACGUGGAAAAUCCCAGGGACUCCUCCGCCUCUACGUUCCUGCACCAUUUAACCCCAAGCUUCCAGUUAGCGCCCUGGCCCAGCUCUAGAGAAAAGAUAAAGAGAGCAGAGAUCCAAGAUAAAGUUGGCUGAAGAGGUGGGGGGCGGAGGUCAGGAGGAGGGUGAACAGGGUGUCUUCCCGCCCAGGGUCACUAGCUGAAAUCAAAGACUGGCGACCUAGGAAGAGCAAAUAGUCACCUGCAGAUCCAGUGGGAAUAGGCCCUUGUCAAGGACAAGUAGAAAAAAUUAAAAAGGAAAGAACAGGAGAGAUUCCCCAAAUUGGCAUUCCGGUCUCACACCUGGCGCAGCCCGAGGGCCCCCAGGAAGAAGCACCCACACAAACUUGGUUCUCCGCCCUAAAGCGCUGCGGGGCCCCGAGGCACCAACCCGGGGUGCGGAGGUGCGGGAGCUGCCGCAUCUCCGCCCGGGAGGCUCCUCGCUCCCCUCCCCCCGCUUCCUGGUGCCCGCUCUGGCGGGGUUGGGGGUGCCGCGGCGGUCGCUCCCGGACCAGGAUGGCUGCGGUGGUUCUCGCCGCCGCGGGCGCUGUCGAGGAAUCGGCCCGAGCGCGCAGCCCUCGCGGGGCUCCGAGGCGAGGCCGGGGCCGAGCGGGCGGUCGCGAGCGCUGCGGAAAAUGCAAACCACCAACGCCGCGCUCUUACCUCGACCUCGGCCGCGGCCGCCGCCGCCGCCUCCGCACCAGGCAGCCUCCUCAGCGGACAUGGG
rnacentral:lncRNA from 1 species